CCUCAUCAGGGUUUGCCUGUUCUUCUCUAGCACAGAAUCCCCCCUCAGGAGCUUUUUCCUUAUUAGGCAGCCCUCAAAAUGAUGAACAUGCUUCUAAGAAAGACGUGUUACAAGAGACAGAAAAUCCAACUCAAAUUGGCCUAAGCAAUAAAAGGUACAUCUUU